UUAUCAAAGUCAGGUCCUGUAGGGUGCUUUACUUUCCCCUGCUUCCCCGGCUUCUCCCCUUCCCAGCCUUCUCUAUUUUAGACUUUAAAGUUUUAAACAACCACAUCCAAUUUCAUCUUCCCAAAUCCAAAUUUUGUUGUUGAUUUUUGAUCGGAUCCGAAUUGAUCUGGGAUGGAUCAGAUGACUUGUCCAUUUUUGGACAACUCGGAGAUGAUUCAAUUCAAGCCGACUGAGUUUGUCAGAGUUCUCGGCGAGUCUUCCGUCACCGUGGCAAAGUGUACUGGACACGGACCGGAGUCCUCCAAUCUAGUGAUGACUCGGUCAGAUCUUUGAACCAUGACUAUGAUAUGUUUAAUGUAAUUUUUUCCAUCAGUGCAUAUUUCAUGGAAUGAAAUAUUAUAUUUUAUCAAAAAAUAAAUAUUGAUUUGUAUUCACGUUUCA